rnacentral:pre_miRNA from 1 species
ACAUGAAUCACCUGGGGGUCUUGUUAAAAUGCAGAUUUUGAUUCAGUAGUUCUGGGUGGGACCUGAGAUUCUGCAUUUGGGACAUGUUCCCAGAGGAGGGACU